UUAUUUUUUAAUUUUGGGUGGAAUGUUUACAAAAACUUCUUCGAUCGAACACAUACUAGAGAGAUUCAAAGCUCUCCUUCGUAGAUUCGUGUAUUGUACAGAUUUGUAGAGAACGAGAGAGAGAGGAGAACAAAAUGGUAGGCGAAGAGGAGACGAAGAAGAGAGUAGUCACUGAAUCGCUAGGAUGGUUAACGGAAUCUUCGAUUAUGCCAAAGAAGCAUCGCGCCAUCGAAGGUGUUGGUCCUUCCUCAAUCAUGGAGCUUAAAGCUCAGCUCUAUAAGUCUCAGGAGGAAGCUAAACAGACAAAGGAUUUUACGGGAUCCGAUGCUCAAUACCAUCGCGCCAAAGAAAGGAUUGCCGCCAAAGAUUCUUUCGCCGCGAAAAACUCCGGCGUCGAAAGUCGCAAUUUAAAUGGUUUUGUAUGUUGGAAAUGAAGGGACAAGCUUGAGCACAAAGCUGUAAAAGAUGGAGCAGUUAGUUAUGCCGCAUUGGAGAAAAAGGCUCAGUUGUAUGAUAAACUUGCUAGAGGAGAGCUUUCUGAUGAAGAAGGUGAAGAGAAGUACUGUGUUGACUUCUUUAGGAAAGGAAUUCAACAUGAAGAUCCAAAACCAUCAAGCACUUACAACAGUUCCAUUUCAGCACCACCUGAAGAUUUCAAGCAAGAUGGUGAAGAUGAUGGUUCGCUUUUUAGCACCAAAUUUGCUGGACUUGGACAUGCAAUUGGGACAGCUGAUGUAGGUCAACACGUGCGCAUGGUCAGGGAGGUUCAUGAGGAAGUCAAUCAAGCGAGAGAAAAGGCAACCGAGUUAAAGCAAAGGAGACAAGAGCAAGCAACAAAUCGUCGGGAGAAACUCAAACAAGCUUAUCUUCGGAAGCAGCUCGAGAAACUAAAGGCUCAACAACAACAACAAGAAGAUGAACAAAAAACUUGAUUUUUCGCUUCGCCAAGCUAUUGGAUUUUGAGUUGCGGCCUGAACGCAGAGAAGACAAUGACAGAGUUGUCCACCGAACCCGAAUGAGUAAUAUGGCUGCAACAAGAACACGUAAGCCAUCAUUAAGGGAUGAAGCUGUAUCCAUAUGCUCUUAAAAGCGAUUUAUGUACUGUGGAUUGUUGUCAAUCAACAGAUUCUAUACAAAGUUACCAAUAGAUAAUCCUUAUAACAAAUUUGUUGCAUCCACUUAGACAUGGCAAGUAUUUUCCCACAGAUUUUAAAUUGCUUAGUAAUAAUAAUAAGACUUGGC